GUGAACGCUGGCGGUAGGCCUAACACAUGCAAGUCGAACGGCAGCACAGUAAGAGCUUGCUCUUACGGGUGGCGAGUGGCGGACGGGUGAGGAAUACAUCGGAAUCUACUUUUUCGUGGGGGAUAACGUAGGGAAACUUACGCUAAUACCGCAUACGACCUACGGGUGAAAGCAGGGGAUCUUCGGACCUUGCGCGAUUGAAUGAGCCGAUGCCGGAUUAGCUAGUUGGCGGGGUAAAGGCCCACCAAGGCGACGAUCCGUAGCUGGUCUGAGAGGAUGAUCAGCCACACUGGAACUGAGACACGGUCCAGACUCCUACGGGAGGCAGCAGUGGGGAAUAUUGGACAAUGGGCGCAAGCCUGAUCCAGCCAUACCGCGUGGGUGAAGAAGGCCUUCGGGUUGUAAAGCCCUUUUGUUGGGAAAGAAAAGCAGCAGGUUAAUACCCCGCUGUUCUGACGGUACCCAAAGAAUAAGCACCGGCUAACUUCGUG
rnacentral:rRNA from 1 species